rnacentral:miRNA from 1 species
CUUGCUUCUUUGUUUCCCCAGAA